CCCAGAGCUGCUGUUUGGAUGUAAACUGCCUCCCAUCCUAAUAGAUCUUUUGCUUGAGGAUGCUCCAAAGGUUCUCAAUAGGAUUGAGGUCAGGGGAGGAUGGACGCCACACUAUGACUUUCUCUCCUUUUAUCCCCAUAGCAGCCAUUAUUCUGGACCGGCUGCAGAGGCUAUGAAUGUGUUUUUCAGGAGCACAUGGCGCUCAUUGCCCUGAUGAGAUUAUCCAUACC